UAAUUCAAGAUUUGUGAAGAA
rnacentral:miRNA from 1 species